CGGGGGCGAGCGCAGGCAGAGCACAAGCUCGGUUGGCCCGUGGGCUGCGGCUGGGGCCACGGGGUUUCCUCCAAUUAGAUCCAGGGUGCUGGAGAUUGACAGAAGUGCUCUUCAUGUUAAACCUACAUUAAAGGUAAAAAGACACCCAUCUACGAGGCGAAAGCAUCACCAUCGUCCAGUAAGUAACACAUAACUGUGAGCUUCUGGGACCAAGCUCUUUAGACUUUAUUCAGCCUGACUCCACAUUGUAUCUGCAUUAUGCUGUGAGGAAGGCCACAGGACUUCCUAUGUUUUGAAAAUACUUGCAGGGUUCGUUCAUUACUGUGUUAAACAAGUCACUUCAGGGAGGGCAAGCCUCUAAAGGAAGUUGUUGAGUGUGUAGGCUUAUAAUGGGUGCAGUUUUUCUGCAAACUGUGUCCUCAUGGGAGAAGAAAAAUCACAACAUGUCUGGGUUAGGAAGGUGAGUGUCAGUGUGGGGUGGUGGCAUUGAAUUUCAUGUCUACUGCUGUUCACCAUUUGUCUGGUUUAGCUUGCUGCAUGUUAAGUGUAUCUGUGCUGGGAGUCAUUUGUCUUUGCUGCUGAAGGAUGAUGCUGAUGGUUAUUGAUACCUGCUGCUGGGGCAAAUGCUGCUGUAGCCUGAUAGACUGGAGCAGCUAUUGAUCAUGGGUGGUAGUAAAAUCUCAGUAUUUGACACUUGCUUUUUCAUACCAUUGCAGUUGUUAAUGUUAAAUUCCACCUCUCUCUCUGGAUGUGAAAUUACUGUCACUUUAUUGCAUAUAACUGUGUUUCUCUGCAUCUUUUCCUUCUGUGUUGUGUGGUACAGAGGAGUGGAAGAAACUCUGGGGAGUGCAGUCAAAUCUCUUUUAUCCAAGUGAGCUGCCUACCUCCCUGCCACAGGCCUGGGAGGAUGCUGGCUGGACACAGAGCAGUUCCUCUUUGUGCUGUUUGGAUAAGAACACAGGCCUGGCAGUGCUGGCCCCAAGCAGGUCCAAGGAACCUCUUGCAGAGUGGCUCUUAAGCCUUAGGGCCAGUCUAGGCUGCAGAUGCCAGGAGAGAGCUGUGAAGGAGUCCCAGAGGGGAUUCCUCUCCCGAAAUGCCAUGCAUGGGUCUAGUGAGGCCUAAGGACAAAACUUUUGAAGAUAUCCCUUGUGCCUCUUUUUGUUUUGCCUGUCCCUGUCCCAAAAACUGUGACUUGCAAGGGGAAGGGCAGAGGAGCCAGCUGGGGAUAAUGACAUCCAUGAAAGUUGAGGUGUGUCUUUUUUUUAUGGAAAUGAAACAAACAGUCUUGUAAUGGAUUCUGUUCAGUUAAAUGCAACUUGUUCUGCCAAAACAUAAUAAAGCGCCCGCUCUUGCAUGAACAAACAGGAGUGGCAGAAGUCACAGAGACUGCCAAGUAAAUGUUAUCCUCCUGAAGCUUAUCCUAUUGGGAGGUAACAAUAGGACCCCUAGAAAUAAGAUAAAUGCAGCUAAUUUCCUCAUAAUGGUGAUUUGAUUAUUCUUUCUUUACAAGUAACUAGUUCCCUUUUCUAAUUAUAUAGCUUGCUUUUAUCCAAGAAAAAUUACCCAAUUUAUGAGAGUGAACCAUUAAAGUCACUCAUCUGUGAAGAGCUUAUUGUAGUGCCAGCUUCAGAAAACAUCUCUAUUGCAAGGGAUACAUAUAGAUUUUUGUAUCUUCUGCUGUUUUGCUAACGGUCGUGACAAAUGAGAAAGCAGAUAGCAGGAAUGGAUGUGUAAGUGGAAAUGAAAUCACAGGGCUGGGAGCAUAGACCCUUACACCCAUGUAGCGUGUCUUUAAAGCAGGGAGAAGGUCUUGGAGGGAAAGGGGGUACAAAGGAACAAGACAGAAAUGUGUGAUGUUCUGCUGGUGGUUGGCGACCCUGCACAUAGCAGGGGGGUUGAAACUAGACGGCCAUUAUGGUCCUUUUCAAUCCAGGCCAUUCUGUGAUUCUAUGAUUCCUUCUCUGGCAGCUGCUCUAGGGCUCUCCAAAGGGGAGAUGGGACUUCACCCAACCCGACUGCACAGCGGGAAGGGAGUGUUGGUGUGUAGCCAGGAGCAUGGUGAGUUUGGGAGAGAGCUCAGGUUCCGCUGGUAGGCUGCUGCUGGCUGCUCUGAUCAGUCUGGUUGUCCAAAACUGUGUAGCGAGGGAUGUAAGCGACAUAGCUGGUGCAGAGGUGUACACCCUCCUACUGAUGAUAUUAAAUCAAACAACAGUUGCAAAAUGUAGACAAGCAUUUGAUCCAAAAGCAUCCAUUCUCUGUAUAAGUAAAACAUAAUCCUUUGCUCUAUGAUAUUAUCAUAUUAAUGAUGAUAGGUAUUGAAGGUCAAGGAUUUGUCUGAAUUGGGAAGCUGACUGUUAAAGAAAUCAAAAGAAGCAUCUGUACAGUUAUGUAAGGUGGGGUAAUUCCCCAUGUGAAAAGUGUUCUAGAAAAAAAGCCACUUUUAUUCUGAAAUGCUUCUGCUAAGGGAUCAAUAACAGCAGAACUGCAAUUAUCAGAUUAUUCUCAGUGUUGGCAAACCAUAAGAACAAAGGAUAUAAGGGAGAGGACAGAAAAGAUGGGGUAGGAAAGAAGGUAGAGAAGCAAUGCCUGUGGGACAGCUAUCCAGACUCCUGUGAACUCUGCAAGCCAAAAUAAAGGUUGUAGAAAGAAUCAGAACAGAAGUUUGUUUCAUGGUAAGCUAUUUUUUUCAAACUCUGUUCUGAAGUGUUCCUGUGUUAGCUUCCCAUGCCAAUAGGAUGUGUGCAUACCGAACUUUUUCUUACAAUCUGUAAUGGAAAGAGUCUUGGUUAUGAAUUUAUUUAGGACUCAAUACAGCCUUUUUUGUAUGCAGAUCAGAAAUCUGAAGACUAUGACAAAGCAUGUUAGGUCCCUACCUAGUUGUGAUUGCAUGCCCAGUACACAGUAGUGAUUUAUAUGCAGAAUGAAGUAAUUUUUCAGUUGAAAAAGGGGAUGACAUGUGCAUGUAUGUGUGUAUGCAUAUAUGCAUAUUUUAGGCUUAAAGCUCUUUGAUAAGCCAAGAACAGGACACUAUGUCUGCAUCUUUAAUAAUUGAGCUUCUUGUAGUGUUUAGCAUACAACAUCUUUGCUUUACUGAAAUAUUUUAUCACGGUCAUAUACUGUGAUUAUAAGCAAGCUGCUUAAUGAUGACCCAUGCUAAUGCAAAUUGUGUCACUUAACUACUUGCAUUAAUAUUGUAGGAAGCCUCAGAUACAUGGAAUGAGCAUCCAUGGAGUUGCAAGCAAGAGAAAAGAAUGAGACUAGUGAAAGAGGUCUCUAGGCAAUGAGUUGUCUCCUACAUUAGUGGGAUGAGCUUACCUAUGGGAAGUUUUCCCUUCUGGAGAAACCUAAGUGAGAGAUACUCCCUCCACCCCUUUCUUCUCUUCCCAUUCUGCUGCUAAUGAGAGAGUAAAGCUUUCAGUUGAGGUAAACAGCUAUGCCUACAAUAUGUAGCCCCAAAACAUCAAGGUAACACAUCGUGGUUUGCUGUGUUAGGUAAUGCUUUUUCUGUAGUGGGAGAUACUUCUGAAUAGAGAGACUUAAAGGUGAGACUCAUUCAUGGAUGAGUAGAUGAGGGGUUUAGUGUGAGGGUACUACAUGUUCACUAUGGCAAACAGGGAUACUGGGAGGAGUUUUUAGAACUAAUUUCCAUGUACUUAAACACCGGAGACUUUCAAACAGAAUACACAACUGUAAUUAAAUUCUGAUAUUUAUUUCAUUCUGUUUCUUUAUAGGAUUCCUCCUAGUGCAGCUAAAUUGUUCUUGUUCUUCUCAAAUUAUUCUUGUUCGUGUAACUUUCAGUAAAUGUUUUUCAGCGGUUAAUACUUACUGAUACACAGCUAGCAUGCUCCCUCCUUGUUCUUACCAACAGGGAGUUCUGUGAAUUCGUUUAAUUUAUGUAAGUUUGAGCACCAUGUUUUUUAUAAAACUGCCUAUGCUUAGAAGUUAUGCAUGGAUCAUCAAAAUGGUAAGAUAAUUAAGAGGAAAGCUUUAGGAUAAAAGAUUUCGUUAACUAUAUCAAGUGUUCCAUAAAUCUGUUUUUCUAACAUCAUAGCAAUCUUAGCUACUUUAUUCAAAACUUUCCAAGUUUGAUAUUUUUUAUUUCCUUGGUUAAUUUUAAAUAUAGAGUGAUUUUCUUAUCUUUUCCUUAUCUCCAGCAUAAGAAACUUCUCAAAGCUGAAGUUUUAUUGAUCGUUACUUUUCCAGCAGCCCCUCCUUGUGUUUCAGCAGAUAACACUGGAUCAGAGCCAGAGCUGUUCCUGGCUUCAUUCCAAACAUUUCCCUGAAAAUGAAUGCACAAACUGCCCAUCCUUCCUAUACUAUGGACUCAGUGUGCAUAAUACAGAAGAAACGUCUGGUUUUGUAAUGUGAUGCCAAAAACAAAGCUUUCAUUACUCCUUGUGAAUAGGUAUUUCUUCUUAGUGUGCAUAACUUAAAAAAUAUGUCGUUGCUGUUAUUGUGGCUGUCAUACUAUUCCAUUCUGGAAUCUGGAAUAUUACAAAAAUGAAAUACUAUAUGAGAAGUGAACCUUGACAGACAUUUUCCUAGAACAUAUCUGAAGCGACCUUUCUGGGAACAAAUGAAUAAAAUUCAUCCUUCUCAAAGCAACGGUCAAUUUGUUCUUAAGAGCCAUCAAAUCUGUGGCUUGUACACAUAUUUUGUCCAGUGAAAAAGCAUAAUUUUCCUUUUUUCUUUUAGAUGGAAAAUGGCAAUCAGUUAUACCUCUCAAGUCUGGAAGGCCUUUCUGCUUGAAAUGCUCUUCGAGUCUGGGUCAUGACACAAAGUGCUGCGCCUUGGCGUUGGUGUAAUGGGUUUUCUUUUUUGACCAGCACCCUGUUGUCUUCAGGUUUUUAAACUGUAAGACAGUUAAACCAUUUUAAACAACUCAUCCUGACUCCAAACAUUUUUGUAAGAAAAUAGUCCUUUGGUGAAGUUGACUAGAUUGGCAGGUAGCCAUCAAUGAGGGCAGAAAACCGUUAUGUACGUAGGAGAAUAUUGUAACCGUCUCUGCUAGGUAGCUGCCCAGGUACCAUGCUGGCAUGCUGGCAGCAGUCUAUGUAGACAUGAUGUGAAAUAACAAAGACUUCACCUGGCCAGCAGUUGUUUGAGAAAUAAUUAGUUCUCCAGUUUCAUGAGUUUACAAAGGAGCUAAGAACCCAUUUUGGAGUCUUGUGGAAUAAUUAGAAUUUCUGCAUUGAAUUUUUGUUGAAUAUGAAUUAACUCUUACAGAUUAAUAGGAUGAUGUAUCCUGGAAUAUAAAUGCUGUUUUACAGGAUUUUGCUAGGACACUCCCCAAAAAGACACGUGAGUUCCUCCCUUGUAGGUACAGUUCCAAGUUCCUGAAAUUUUGAGCAUGGAGGCCCUAGCAUCUCUUUGUUGCCUGCAGAAGGCAUUUCCAGAGGACAAUUCUUCCCAUCCCACUGAGACUCUGGAAAAGUCUCUUUCCAGAUCCUUUAGCAGCUGCACUCCUGACAAAAUGAAACUGGCUGAACAUAAGGCAAAGGCUAGCAAUAUGAGAGCAGUUUGAUAAAUAUUCAUCAUGGCUGAAGUUUCCUCCUCAUGGACCAAUACAGAGACUAUAUACUAUUUGAGUGGAGGCUGAGUUCACUCAGGAGGUGCCCAAGUGGUGGUCAGGCCCUCACUGACAUUGUAUGUAGAGCUGAAUUUCAUAUUGUUUAAAGCAUCAUUUGUCAGGACCCUGAUUUCUCUAGAUUUUCUCCCUUUGUAUCACACAUACUUUCAUUCAAAAUCAUACUUCCUUCAGGUGGAGAGGAAUAUUCUGCAUUGCUGAUGCAGUUGACUUUAUGAUUGUUGGCACACAGCAGUUUAAUAGGUUUGAGCAAACAGUAGUUGCAGAGCCCAGUAGAUACAAUGAUUGUCAUCAGGAGUCAUUUAGUGCUUUCUUUUACAGGGCACAAACUCCCUGUGACUCACACUAACAGGAUAAGGUCAGAUUUUCAUGUGGCGUAAAUCAGAGGAAAACGUUGCCUGUGGUAAUGUGUGCGUUUUCUCUAUUAAAUUAAUUAAAGAUUUUUUUCUUGUGUGCUC